AAUCAUGGGUGGUGUUGGUGGGGGUGUGGUGGGAUCAAAACCACUAUACCCCGCCUGCCGCCGACAUUUGGUCGGGAUGCGGGUCCCGGAUCAUAUUCACGCUUGUGCUGUUUGCCAGAGUAACAGAUACGUUUAAUUAUGACAACUUUUAACAAUGGAUCUCUUGGCUCU
rnacentral:misc_RNA from 1 species